rnacentral:rRNA from 1 species
CCUACGGGAGGCAGCAGUGAGGAAUAUUGGACAAUGGAUGGAAAUCUGAUCCAGCCAUGCCGCGUGAAGGACGACGGUCCUAUGGAUUGUAAACUUCUUUUGUAUGGGAGCAAUAAGGUCUACGUGUAGAUCGAUGAGAGUACCAUACGAAUAAGCAUCGGCUAACUCCGUGCCAGCAGCCGCGGUAAU